AGGUGAACCUGCGGAAGGAUCAUUACCUAGAGUUGUAGGCUUUGCCUGCUAUCUCUUACCCAUGUCUUUACAGUACCUUCGUUUCCUCGGCGGGUUCGCCCGCCGAUUGGACAAAUUUAAACCCUUUGCAGUUGCAAUCAGCGUCUGAAAAAACAUAAUAGUUACAACUUUCAACAACGGAUCUCUUGGUUCUGG
rnacentral:misc_RNA from 1 species